CCUGAUGCAGCCAUGCCGCGUGUGUGAAGAAGGCCUUCGGGUUGUAAAGCACUUUCAGCGAGGAGGAAAGGUUGAUACCUAAUACGCAUCAGCUGUGACGUUACUCGCAGAAGAAGCACCGGCUAACUCCGUGCCAGCAGCCGCGGUAAUAAUCU
rnacentral:rRNA from 1 species